rnacentral:rRNA from 1 species
UAGUAACGGCGAGUGAAGCAGCAAUAGCUCAAAUUUGAAAUCUGGCGUCUUCGACGUCCGAAUUGUAAUUUGUAGAGGAUGCUUCUGAGUAACCACCGACCUAAGUUCCUUGGAACAGGACGUCAUAGAGGGUGAGAAUCCCGUAUGCGGUCGGAAAGGUGCUCUAUACCUAGCUCCUUCGACGAGUCGAGUUGUUUGGGAAUGCAGCUCUAAAUGGGAGGUAAAUUUCUUCUAAAGCUAAAUAUUGGCCAGAGACCGAUAGCGCACAAGUAGAGUGAUCGAAAGAUGAAAAGCACUUUGGAAAGAGAGUUAAAAAGCACGUGAAAUUGUUAAAAGGGAAGGGAUUGCAACCAGACUUGCUCGCGGUGUUCCGCCGGUCUUCUGACCGGUCUACUCGCCGCGUUGCAGGCCAGCAUCGUCUGGUGCCGCUGGAUAAGACUUGAGGAAUGUAGCUCCCUCGGGAGUGUUAUAGCCUCUUGUGAUGCACCGAGCGCCGGGCGAGGUCCGCGCUUCGGC